rnacentral:lncRNA from 7 species
CUCGGAGCCGUGGCCGCCCCUGGGCUGCCGGCCGACCCGUCCCCGAGCACCCUCCCUCCCCCGGCAACCUCGGCAACCUGCUGCCCGCACUGGUGCGUGGGGGAAGCUCGGGCCGCUACCCGGGAACGGCCCCGUCCUGCCGUCCCCCUCCAACCCGCACGCACGCACGCACGUCCCACUCCCACUGCCACUGACACAGAGCAAGCACCGCAGGAUGGAUAGAAAGAGGAUUUAAUGGGACUGUAGCUGCGAGCUGGCUGUUCCCCGGUGCUCCGUUACGUCCUUCCACGCUGGGCCCUCCCACAGCCAAGUGGAUGCUGAUGACAAAAGCCGUGGGCACCCACGGCCCCUCUGCUUCCUCGAUGUGCGCUCGCGGAAGGAGGUGGCAUCGGGCCGGGUUGGCUCUCUGCACUUCCCACAGCGGUGACGUUGGCGUGGCAGCCGUUGUCCUCCACGGGCAGCACUGAAGCUGUUUGUGCUGCCUGUGCUGCUGCCCUGUAUUCAGGCUGGGACUUGGGACGUGCCGGGGUGGCCAAGAGCCAUGCGGGAACCUGCGGGGCCACCUCCUACCGCCAACAUAGCCACUCAAUGGAGCCAUAGGCAAUGCUACGCACCGUUGUCCCACGCGCUGGUGGCAGCAAGCAGGAGCAGAUCCCGUGAGGCUGCCUUUGGGCACCUCUGUCUGCUUUGGAGCCCCACAUCUCUUCCUCAGCAUGCCUGGGGGGCGACUGCACGUGCCGGUUCGUAUUUCUUAUGCUGUGCUGCUCUGGCUUCUGUGCAUCCCUCUUGGAUCCCGCUGUCUUACAGCACUCACAAUGCAUUCGGCAGGACACAGGCAAUGCAGAAGGCUCCUGGGCCUUGUUGUCCCAGCAACGUUGUCCCUGCUUUGGUUGAUGAAGUCCCUCAUGCGCAGGUGGACGCAUGCAGGUGCAGGUGCAGGUCUGCGGGGGCUGCUCUGCGGCUCCCCUGCCUGGCUUGGAGACCUGGCAAUUUGUCCUGGGGGCUGUGGGUGCCACCGGCUGCCACACGUGCUGGCUAUUCACUGUCAGCCUGCCUGCCUGCCUGGUCUGCAAUUCUCCUCUCAGCGAGGGGGCUGCUCAGACGCAGGCCGGCUGCAGUUCUGCAGUCAUCUUCUGUAGCCAGGCGUGAAGGUGCUGCUGGUCUUACUGUCUUUUGCAUGUGGGGUACUUCUUGUGGACGCUUGGACAAUCCAACAGGCUGCUGUUCCUUCUGCUCCCACCAACGUACAGCGGCACCUGUCUGCAUGAUGCUCUCACGUACAACUGUCCCCAGCUGUGUGGAGGAGCUGGGGGAGCUGCAGCAGGAUAGGCUUCCUUGCUCCACCAGCUUUUCCAGGUCCCGCCAGGCCGCAUCCCAGAACUCAGGGCCCAGAGUGGCCACGUGCUCUGGGAGAGCCGGCAACACCAGCUGCUGCAGCUCCUGCUCAGCUUUGCUGCAGCGGUUGCAGCUGGAGCAGGAGCACCGUGGCCCACGUGUCUGUCCCUCAGCACCUGCAAAACAGGAGGGGCAUGAGCCACAGCAGGAUGGACACUGGAGACAGCCUUUGUCCAUCUGGCUGACCCGUAGUGUGCCAGGUCCUGGUCCACGGUUGGGCUCCUCCCAUGGGUCCACCCAGGCCUCGCAUGCAUCAGGGCAAGCAUGGGGUUUGGGGCUGAACCACAAUAGACUCACUUGACUCAGAAGCUGAUGCUCCACGCUGCACCUCACUCUGGUCAUUGGCAGAGCUGCAGCAGGACAGGCUUCCUUGCUCCACCAGCUCCUCCAGGUCCCUCCAGGCCAUCACCCAGAAUUCAGGACCAGGAGUAGCCACGUGCUGCGGCAGCACCGAUAGCACCAGCUGCUGCAGCUCCUGGUCAGCUUUGCUGCAGCGGUUGCAGCUGGAGCAGGAGCAAGAUGUCCCAGACGUUGGUCUCUGAGCACCUGCAGAACAGGGAGGGGGACUGAGCCACAGCUCGACUGGACACCAGCGACAACCCUGUCCCAUCUGGUCGACCUGAAGCGUGCCAGUUCCCAGUCCAGGGUAGGGCUCCUGGCAUGGGCCCAUCCCUGCCUGGCAUGAAUAAGACAAAGCCUGGGGCUUGGCACUGACCCACAGAGACCUACCUGACUCCGGUGCUGAUGCUCCUCUCCGCCACCAUCUCCUCAGUCGCAAGAGUCGUCUGCCAGCCUGCAGGCACAUGAACGUGGCACUGUGAGGCGCCUGGGAAGCAACCCGCGCAAUCGGUUCCAAAUCCCCC